UACGUAGGGGGCAAGCGUUGUCCGGAUUCAUUGGGCGUAAAGAGCUCGUAGGCGGUUCAGUAAGUCGGGUGUGAAAUCUCGGAGCUUAACUCCGAAACUGCAUUCGAUACUGCCGUGCUUGAGGACUGGAGAGGAGACUGGAAUUUACGGUGUAGCGGUGAAAUGCGUAGAUAUCGUAAGGAAGACCAGUGGCGAAGGCGGGUCUCUGGACAGUUCCUGACGCUGAGGCACGAAGGUCAGGGGAGCAAACGGG
rnacentral:rRNA from 1 species